CUGGAGACCAAGUAUAUGUAAAGAACUGGUCAACCGAUCCUCUCAGAGAAUCAUGGAGCGGCCCACAUCAGGUGAUCCUGACCACGUACACCGCAGUCAAGGUGGCUGGCAUGGAUUCCUGGAUACAUUACACUCGGAUCAAGAAAGCUCCGACCCAAUGGGUGUCUCAAGCAGUAACUCCUACCCGGCUGAUACUCCGAGCAAAUUAUUCUUGAUUGCCAUCCUGUGGUUUAUUUUAGGAAUUGUAUCUGUUAAUGGAUCUGUAAUUGUUACUGUUUCAGAACCUGUAAUUGGAGUUAUGGAGGGAGAAUCUGUGAAGAUAGUUUGUGAAUUUUCCGACAACCAGGGAGCUGGAGCCAAAAAAGUAAUUAUAUUCUGGAGGAGGGGACAGGUAUCUGAAAACCUAAAUGCCGUUACAUUGUGGGAUAAGGAAACACAAAAAGGUAAUACUACACUAGAAUUGGCACAAGUGACACUGGCCGACACGGGUACUUAUGUUUGUCUAGUUAGGAUACGGUGGAGUUUCGACCUUCAACACGUGAGAUUAAGAGUACAGGUUGGGAAAAAGGGAAGUUCAGGAAUAUCAGUGUUACCUAAGGUAUCUUUUGCUCAGAAAAACUCAAGGGUUAGGAAAAUCAGAGAAAUUGAGAAUAAGAAUGAGACAAUAGCAUUCUACCCCAGACAGAAGCAGGAAAAUUUAAUAAUACGAUUAAUAAGAGAUUUUGGGAUAGUUCAAAAUGUGACACAAAUUACCGCCUGCCUACCACUAACCCAAUCGGCAGGGGAACCGAUCCCGUGGGGAAUAAUUCCAGUAGUGAAUAUGCCAAAGGCCUUGGUGAAUGUCACUCAAAGUUGCAAACUUGUUUCCCAAAGAUAUUAUGAGUGGCAGCAUGGGUGUUUGAUACUCGAGCAGAUUACAAAAGAGUAUUGCCAGCAGAUGUCAGGGUAUCUUACAUGGUUAGAGACUCCAAUCCAACAACAUCCAUAUGUUAUCUCAGGGUCAGCACCCGUACUGAAUUAUCAUUGUAGUAGGAUAACAUUACGGAAUGAGAAGGUGAGGGAAG
rnacentral:lncRNA from 1 species